rnacentral:rRNA from 1 species
UACGGAGGGUGCAAGCGUUAUCCGGAUUCACUGGGUUUAAAGGGUGCGUAAGCGGGCAGGUAAGUCAGUGGUGAAAUCUCCGAGCUUAACUCGGAAACUGCCAUUGAUACUAUUUGUCUUGAAUAUUGUGGAGGUAAGCGGAAUAUGUCAUGUAGCGGUGAAAUGCUUAGAUAUGACAUAGAACACCAAUUGCGAAGGCAGCUUACUACACAAUGAUUGACGCUGAGGCACGAAAGCGUGGGGAUCAAACAGG